rnacentral:rRNA from 1 species
UGCCACAGCCAUGUCACCCUGCAGCCCAAGACCAGUUACUCACUGAAGCUAAGCAGGGCUGAGCCUGGUCAGUACCUGGAUGGGAGACCACUAGGGAACACUAGGUUGCUGUUGGAA